rnacentral:rRNA from 1 species
GGCUGUUUGAAAAGUACACACAGUCUGACCUGCCCACUGGGAAACUAAAGGGCCGCGGUAUACUGACCGUGCGAAGGUAGCAUAGUAAUUAGUUCUUUAAUUGAGGACUGGAAUGAACGGUUGGACGAGAAGUUAACUGUCUCGGGUAUAAAUUUUGAAGUUUACUUUUAAGUGAAAAGGCUUAAAUAAUAUAAAGGGACGAUAAGACCCUAUAAAACUUUACUCCUUGCUUUUAUAGUUUUUAAAUUGUAAGUGUAAAUUUGCUCUUCGAGCAAGUGUUUUGUUGGGGCGAUAAAAAUAUAAAAUAUUAACUGUUUUUGAAAUAAAAUAAUAAUAAUUAGAUUAGAUGAUCCUUUAAUAUGGAUUACAAGACCAAGUUACUUUAGGGAUAACAGCGUAAUUUCUCUUGAGAGACCAAAUCGACAGAGUUAGUUGCGACCUCGAUGUUGAAUUAAGAUAUCAUUUAGGCGUAGAAGUCUAAAUAGUAGGUCUGUUCGACCUUUAAAAUCUUACAUGAUUUGAGU